AUUGAACGCUGGCGGCAUGCCUUACACAUGCAAGUCGAACGGCAGCACGGGAGCAAUCCUGGUGGCGAGUGGCGAACGGGCGAGUAAAGUAUCGGAACGUGCCCAGUCGUGGGGGAUAACGUAGCGAAAGUUACGCUAAUACCGCAUACGAUCUAUGGAUGAAAGCGGGGGAUCGCAAGACCUCGCGCGAUUGGAGCGGCCGAGAUCAGAUGAGGUAGUUGGUGGGGUAAAGGCUCACCAAGCCGACGAUCUGUAGCUGGUCUGAGAGGACGACCAGCCACACUGGGACUGAGACACGGCCCAGACUCCUACGGGAGGCAGCAGUGGGGAAUUUUGGACAAUGGGCGAAAGCCUGAUCCAGCCAUGCCGCGUGCAGGAUGAAGGCCUUCGGGUUGUAAACUGCUUUUGUACGGAACGAAAAGGUUUGGCCUAAUAAGCUGAGCUCAUGACGGUACCGUAAGAAUAAGCACCGGCUAACUACGUGCCAGCCGCCGCCGUAA
rnacentral:rRNA from 1 species